UUUAUUAGCAAGGUCUUUAUGACCUGUAUCUUGUGCCGACGUCCUAUCUCAUUCUAUGAUUAAGAAUACCUUGCAAUGUGCGGCACAUAGCUGGGAAGGCCUGGCAGGGGGCGGGCACAAGUCGGAAAAACACCAACCAGGGAAUGGGCAACGAGGCUUGCCUUAAUUCAGAGGAACUCUAGGACUUGAGAGAGCCAUACAAUUUGAAAGACGAAGCACCGUUAAAUGCAGAAACUUGUGGUUCAGAUAGCUCAGCUGAUUAAUUUCAUGUUGCCACAGUUUAACAUGGACAAAAUGGCUGGAGUCCUGUGAGUUCUAGUAAUCAUCUUAUGACAAGAAAGCAACCUUAAGCCACGUGAUAUGCUAAGGAUGAAGGAAGAUAGGGUCUAGGUGCCUGAUGACAACAUGGAGCUGUCACACAAGCCCUGGAUUGCCUACCCUGGGACUUCUCAUUAUGGGAGAAAAUGAAACAAUUUGUUUAAGCUGCACA